rnacentral:rRNA from 1 species
CCUACGGGAGGCAGCAGUAGGGAAUAUUGCUCAAUGGGGGAAACCCUGAAGCAGCAACGCCGCGUGGAGGAUGACGGUUUUCGGAUUGUAAACUCCUUUUGUUAGAGAAGAUAAUGACGGUAUCUAACGAAUAAGCACCGGCUAACACCGUGCCAGCAGCCGCGGUAAUACGGAGGGUGCAAGCGUUACUCGGAAUCACUGGGCGUAAAGCGCGCGUAGGCGGGAUAGCAAGUCAGAUGUGAAAUCCUAUGGCUUAACCAUAGAACUGCAGUUGAAACUGUUAUUCUAGAGUAUGGGAGAGGUAGGUGGAAUUCUUGGUGUAGGGGUAAAAUCCGUAGAGAUCAAGAGGAAUACUCAUUGCGAAGGCGACCUGCUAGAACAUAACUGACGCUGAUGCGCGAAAGCGUGGGGAGCAAACAGGAUUAGAUACCCCAGUAGUC